AUAAUAGCUUUGAUCGGGAAGAGUACUUAUUUUUGAUGCUUAAAGAGAGUGGGAAAUGCUGUGACCCCAUAGUAGAUACUUAAGGAAAAUCACCUGUGAGCUGAGGGCUGAAACUAAAAGUAAGCUUAUCCGUAUUUUACGUUAAAAAAUAGAGUAUGUUUGUACUUGAUAGCUUAAAUUUAGGUGGUAUAACGAAUUAACUUCGUCCUAGUU
rnacentral:ncRNA from 1 species